AGGGAUGUAGUUAAAUAUAACAUUUGAAUUGCAAUCAAAAAGUAUUGAACUAAUUUCAAUCUUCCUUA
rnacentral:tRNA from 1 species